UUAUAAAUUUUAGCAGUCUAUGUUUAUGGAACAGGAGGUUGACUUCUGACCAAACAUGAACAAUGGAAAAAGAAAGCAUUCAAAAAAGUCCAGUGGAAGUGAAAAGAUGCUUUUUAAGGAAAUUAUUUCAAAAUAUCACAUACUAAAAACAUCAAAAUACAGCUGAAGAAAACAGCAGCCAUUGCUCGUAGGGAGUGUUUCGAGACAGGUGGGCAACUCCCAGUGAGACCACAGACCGAUGACCAGGGAGAAUUGUUGACUGGGAUGAUUGAAAGCCAAAAUCCCUUGGAAGGCAUCCCAGAUGAUCAUCAUCUGGACAAUUCAGGACUCUUGGUCUGGUGGCAUUUUGUCCUUUGGUCUGUCCACAAAUCUUGUGUUAAGAUGAGCCCCCGGUGUCCACUUCCAUAUGUUCUCCAGUCAUCCACCGACACCAGCCACAUCCUACGAUGGUGCCUGCUAAACAAGCCACAUUCACAGAACCUUCACAGAACCACUGCUGCUCCACAUCAGAAGGGAUACGUUGUGUGGAUGGAUGGAAUCAAAUGAAGGAGCUGAAACAGAAGUAGAAACAAAGAUGAGUCUAAUCGGGCCUGCAGUAAAUUUGAUAUCUUUGGUGUUAUAGCAUAGCAUGGGGUCACACCUCAAACUGAUGGAGAACAUCUGCAGUGUUUGUUUCCUGCACGUCUUUCAGGGAUGCAUCAUACAAAGACCCACUGAGAUCGCUGAAACUUACGAAAGAUCUGAGCAGUCCACUGAUCGCAUUCAGAAGAUACCACACUAACAGCAGCUGUUUGUAUCCCAUAAUCCCAUUUUUAUCGUAGGUCUGUAAUUCUAGACAGAGCAAAACUAGAAAAUGUAAACAGACUUUCCCAAACAAUAACUGGGAUUUAUAAAAGGAAGAUGUGUUGCAGGAAGUACAUCAGCUGACCUAUCAGGAUGUUUUUACUCAGUUUAACCCUGAUGAGGUGAAGUGGAAAUAAAAACGAAGCAUUGACACCAUCUAUGAAUUUUAAUGGUGGAAAAGCUAAAAUGGCAAAAUAAUUAAAUAUGAAAAAACCCAGCUUUUUCAUCUGUUAGAAAUAAAAUUAAAGAACACUUUCAAGUUUUA